rnacentral:rRNA from 1 species
GACGAACGCUGGCGGCGUGCUUAACACAUGCAAGUCGAACGGAAAGGCCCUGCUUUUGUGGGGUUCUCGAGUGGCGAACGGGUGAGUAACACGUGUGUAACCUGCCCUUGUCUUUGGGAUAACUUCAGGAAACUGGGGCUAAUAUCGGAUAGGAUCUCCUGCUGCAUGGUGGGGGUUGGAAAGUUUCGGCGGUUGGGGAUGGACUCGCGGCUUAUGAGCUUGCUGGUGGGGUAGUGGCUUACCAAGGCUUUGACGGGUAGCCGGCCUGAGAGGGUGACCGGCCACAAUGGGACUAAGAUACGGACCAGACUCCUACGGGAGGCAGCAGUGGGGAAUAUGGCACAAUGAGCGGAAGCCGGAUGCAGCAGCGCCGCGUGCGGGAUGACGGCCUUCGGGGUAAGAACCGCUUUCGCCUGUGACGAAGCGUGAGUGACGGUAAUGGAUAAAUAAGCACCGGCUAACUACGUG